AUGCACAUGUCAUUGACCUGUUUCCUUUACAGUGGUAAGCAGUGUUAUUUCUGAUGUGCUAAAGGAACAGUUGAAGGCUAAUUAGCAGCUUUACUCCGUUGAGAGACUGCUGCCAGUCUCCUUCACACAUAG
rnacentral:snoRNA from 2 species